rnacentral:lncRNA from 1 species
GUAUGCAUGGUUUAAUAUAUAUGAAUUUUCAAAGUUGAAGUACCAAAGCUGCCAGAUUUUCUAAAAUAAUAUUAGAUUAUCGGGUGUUGCUCACGUUUAUACGAGAUUUAUUUGUCGUGGAUCAGGUAUACUGAAUAUUAUGUACUUUGAUUGCAUAUUUGGUUAUGAGAUACCAGAGAACAAAUGAAGACUCAAUUUCGGGUGAUAUGAUAUUUAUUAAAGAACAUUUAAUUAUGCUAAGCUAAUCUGUACAUUUUAUGGAUAAGUUUAAUGUUUAGCAUCUAUUUAUGCCCUUAUUUAUUUGAAAUUUGUCUUAUGCACAUUGAACCACAAGUUUACAGUAUUUUGAUCAAAAUUAGACAUAACAUCAUAUGAGGGUAUGUCAAGUAAAUUUAUUGGUUGGACGAUAUUGAGUUAGUAUUUG